GGGAUAGCGUCGGGAAACGGACGGUAAUCCCAAUAAAAGUAUAUUAACGGCAUCGUAGAUAUACCAAAGCUGAGGCGCCUAAGGAUGGACUCGCGUCUGAUUAGAUAGUUGGUGGGGUAACGGCCUACCAAGUCGACGAUCAGUAGCCGGACUGAGAGGUUGAACGGCCACAUUGGGACUGAGACACGGCCCAGACUCCUACGGGAGGCAGCAGUGGGGAAUAUUGCACAAUGGGCGAAAGCCUGAUGCAGCAACGCCGCGUGAAGGAAGACGGUUUUCGGAUUGUAAACUUCUGUUCUUAGUGAAGAAUAAUGACGGUAACUAAGGAGCAAGCCACGGCUAACUACGUGCCAGCAGCCGCGGUAAUACGUAGGUGGCAAGCGUUGUCCGGAAUUACUGGGUGUAAAGGGAGCGUAGGCGGGAAGCCAAGUCAGCUGUGAAAACUACGGGCUUAACCUGUAGACUGCAGUUGAAACUGGCUUUCUUGAGUGAAGUAGAGGUUGGCGGAACUCCGAGUGUAGCGGUGAAAUGCGUAGAUAUUCGGAGGAACACCGGUGGCGAAGGCGGCCAACUGGGCUUUAACUGACGCUGAGGCUCGAAAGUGUGGGGAGCAAACAGGAUUAGAUACCCUGGUAGUCCACACUGUAAACGAU
rnacentral:rRNA from 1 species